ACGCUCGACACCUACGGGAGGCGGCAGUGGGGAAUAUUGCACAAUGGGGGAAACCCGUGAUGCAGCGACGCCGCGUGGAGGAAGAAGGUCUUCGGAUUGUAAACUCCUGUUGUUGGGGAAAAAGAGGAUGGUACCCAACAAGGAAGUGACGGCUAACUACGUGCCAACAGCCGCGGUAAUCUGAGCGGGCUGGCAAGGC
rnacentral:rRNA from 1 species